rnacentral:rRNA from 1 species
UACAGAGGGUGCGAGCGUUAAUCGGAAUUACUGGGCGUAAAGCGCACGUAGGUGGCGACGUAAGUCGGGUGUGAAAGCCCCGGGCUCAACCUGGGAAUUGCGGUUGAAACUGGCGAACUAGAAUCUGGCAGAGGGGGGUGGAAUUCCACGUGUAGCAGUGAAAUGCGUAGAGAUGUGGAGGAACACCGAUGGCGAAGGCAGCCCCCUGGGCUGAGAUUGACGCUCAGGCACGAAAGCGUGGGGAGCAAACAGG